UUGGACCGAAGCACGGUGUUUCCUGUCUGCUGCCUGCACGCCAUUACACCAUCUCUCCUUCCCCGGGGGACCGUGGCUCUGUCUGUGCUCCAGAAAGGGUCUGCCCCCCAGCCUUGGAGACAAACGGGCUGUCGGGUCCUGAGCACGACCUUGGUGGCACCAAGAAGGGAACCAACCAUCAGUAUCAAUGCCAGGGGCUGCAUGAUUGCGCCCACCCAUGCUCAGCGUGGAGGCUGAACAAUUUGCUCCACAGCCAGGCCAACAUGCACCAACAUCAAGUGUUCAUCCGUGGUUGCUGCUGCUAGUGUGUGUCUGCCUGUAUGUGUGCACUCAUUUCUAUGCAGGUCUAAGAGAGCAGGGCAAAAUUCUGCUCUCUCCGACAGCCAAAUAAGUCUGGGGAUGCUGAUGAAGGUACUAGCAGGGUAGCAGGGCACAAAGGCAGCAGGCUUUCAUAUGAGGUGGUCAGGAGAGGUGAGAUGAGGCUGCUGGGUCCCCACAAAGACCGUUUGGCACUGGAGGGAGGAGCUCUGCCUGCAGCAGCUGACUUUUGUAUAGCUGUCUCUAGGAAUGCAGAUAAAGAACACUUCAUACUGGGAAAAAAACAACUGUCUAGUUUGCUAUUGGCACUUUUCACCUUCCAUUUCUGAGCAACUGGCUGGACUCUGAAUUCAGCUGUGUCUGGGAUGAGGAAAGCAAUUCCAAAGGGACUGGUAAUCAAGGAGUCCCUGCAGCUUUCUAACCAUAAUAAAGCACAUUCUUUUACUCUUCUUUGGACACUUACAGCAAAAAUUCAGCUCUCUAGUCAGAGAGUUGAAAUCUGGAAUGUCUAUUGCAUCAGUGGAAGGAAGCCAGGCUUGCAGCAGUGUAAGCGAGUGAAAGAUCUGGCAGACAAUCAAGAUGCAACAUUAUAAUGAAACUUUGGGGUUGUUUCCUUUUUAAUUUUGUCCUAAGCGGCUGGUCUAUGUUCUGCUCUCACUUUUUUAUCUGAUGGCUGUCAUGCAGCAGCAGUGUGCCUGAGAUCAAGCUCAGCCCUCUAGGUUUCCAUUCCCCUCCGAAAUAUAAAUUGCAAGAUGGCAAUAAAUACUGGAAUAAAAAAGAUAUGUAAUUUCAGUGACAGAGAAGUAAAUUGAUGCUGAAUGUAUAUGACACUUUUUCAAUUUUCCUCUUGUUUUUCCUGAUAGCGUUUUGUGCUAAACAUUACAUUUGCAGAUGCAAAAUUUAAAGAACUCUUUAUCUUCAGCACUGAGAAACAUAACAUGUAAUUUGUGGCUUCAGCCAAGAGUGAUGGCCUUAUUAGUAAUGGGAAUUUACUGAUUAACUGCUGUUAGCAAAACAUCAUCUUCAAGCCCGUUAGUCUGAAACUGGCAGCCGCUCUGUCGGCAGGAGCUUUUUUAUUUCAUCUCGGGGGAGUUCUGUAGAAAUAUUUCUCAUUUAAACAGCUUUAGCCUUGGCCUUUCAAUAAUUUUUAUGGUCUCAACUAAUAGGUUAACAAUUAGUUAAGAGCAACUAUCAGCUUAAUGUCAAGUCAUUCACAGGGAAAAGUUCAAGGAGAGAAGUAACGGUAUUUCAAAAGAUGGUUUAUUUUCGAACAAAGAGCUCCAAUCUGUUGGAGGAGACAAGGAUAAAAAUGAACGCAGGAGAGAGGUUGAGAAAUGGGAAAGAAAGGUAUGGGGCCCAUGGAAAGCCAGGAGAGGGUCUGCUGAGGAGCAGGGUGUGCUGGAGUGGCACCAAGGUGCCGGGGGUUAUCUGCACUCCUGGCCCCCAGCCCCGCUUGGGGAGGCUGUCGCCGGCACGGCGGCAAGGGGGGGCGCGUGUUUGUCUGCAGCCUGGCAGGGCUUCGUGCCCUGCAGCAUCUCCCAGCUUCUGAUUUAUCUCCGGGGUUUUGUCCCUGCCUCCCACCCACCCCAUCCCUCAGACCCAGCUCUCCAUCCCUGCUGAGGAUGCCUCUUUCUCCUUCACGCUCUUUCGGCACUAACAGGGCAUUGAGCGAGUGCACAAGGGAUACGUCUGUUCUUCCUCUGAGCUUCUGUGCCAGAUGUCACCGUGGUGCAUAAACAGCUGGUAAGGAAAGUCCUGCUCAGCCGUCGGUGGCAUGUGUGCCAUCAAGAUGGCAUUGUCAGAUAGAUGUGUUCAUUAGGACCAGUCUCAUUGCCAGGGCAUGAAUGGGGGGAUGCUUUUUUCUUCCCUCAACAGCUCUCAUACAGACGGAUCUUGGAAUCAUUUAUGGGGUUGGAAAAGUGUGUAUCGCUGCCUCCAAAGUAAAUCCCUCCUAAAUCUCUCUGAUUCUUCUCAUGGAUGUGCAGAGUGAGUCAAGGGCAUGGGAAGCCACUCCUGACUCUCAACAGCUUUUUCCAGCUUAAUCACUCACCUUGCCUGGACAUAUUUCUGACCAGAAGUUUUCCUCAAAACACAGGCAAAUGAAGAGCCUUCCUGGACACGUUCAGUGUACAUGAUGACAGGAGAGGUGGGCAGGCUUUUCUUGCAGAGACCCGAACAGGCUGAGAUGCCCUUGGUACAGAGCAGCUCAAUUUUGUCCCGUGGGGGCUACAUAAAACCUGAUCACCUCCCAUAUCUGGGCUUUUGGAGAGUAGGUUCCUGACAGAGGUGUGAGAGGUGGGCAGCUACAUGAGCAAAUGACUGACUGAUCCUGUGCGGAGCAUCCUCUCAUAUGGGGAAGGACAGUGAGGCUAAUGCUGGCAUCACACCGAGUGAUUAGGGAGAGAAAAGAGCCUGUUAUACAUACAUAGCAAUUAUAAAGUGCUUACAGAUCUUUUGUUUCCUUUGGACUACAAGCUCAGGCACAUGGUGUUUAUAUAUGUGUGUAUAUGCACGUAUGAGUAUGUUUUAAUAUAUACGUGUAGAUAUGUAUUUUUUCAUCCAUUGCCUGAAGUGUAACUCCUAUCCUGUGAGCUGGGCAGGGCAGGAAUGCUGAUGUCUUAUUUCUCUGUGUGAUUUUUAAUGGAGCUGGGAUGUGAGCCCCGGCUGGGAGCUUCAGAGAGAAGAGCAAAGGAAACUGCUGCACGGCCCAUCUUACUCAGUGAUCUUCCCAAAGUCCAGUCUACUCCAUAGGCUUCUUACAAUCAAAGGAAGAAGCUUUUUCCCUCCAAUAUUUAUUACAGAGGGUGCCUGAGCUGCGAACCAAGAGGACUGAGCACUUUGCAGGCACAUAAACCAACUCUGAAGUCGAAUCGCUUCACCUUAGAAGCCAGGCUCUGAGUGACUUCAGACAGCUCCUGCUUAUAUCCAGUCUGAAGGAAACCUUCCUUCUGGCUUUAAAGUCUGGAGAUAAAAGAGCAGUCUGGUGAAAAAAAGGCAAAUUUCUCGUAGCCAGAAGAGCCCGAGUGUUGUUUAGGGCCACGAGGGAGGUGUGUGACCGAGGCCAGGCCUGAUGGGGCCUAGCGCAGCAAUCUGCUGUCCAUCCAUGUGGCACCAUGGCAGGGGUGGGGACACUGUGGCCAUGGGCAGGAGCUGGCCCAGGGCUUUGUGCUGGUAUCUUUGAGGCCUUUUGCUGCUCAUCACUGGGACAUGUUCUUUCCUGCUCUUUCUCUUGUGCCCUGAAUGGAGGCACAAGCGAGAAGCCCCAGCUGGGGAUGAGCAGCAGCACCUACCUCACAAGGCUUCAUCUUUGGUCUCAGCACAGAAAGGAACGGUGAAAGGAAAGACCACUUCAAAACAUUUUUUGGAGUCUACCUUAUAUUCAUAGUUCAUAAAGAGGGGCCAGAAAUCAAGGGGUGACCUGAACCCACUUUUCUUUGCUAUAAUUUCUUGGAUACGUGCAGCUACCCUUUCAAUAACGCUACUUUUUGCAGCUGAUUUCUACCCGAUUAUGGAGAGCAAUAAGAAGAUAGGGCCCAAAGAUUAUUAUCCAGUGGCCUAUUCUCGCUUUCACUGACAUGGAUGGCAAAUUGACUUCAAGGGAAACUUCAUCAUGCUGUAGUGUUGAUAGCAUCAUAGAGGAAAGUGUAAUUAAAGGGCAAAAAAGAGGGGAAUCAUUCACUGCAAUGUAUUUCUUGGAUAGCUAGAGCUGACUCUACAUAACAGGGAAAGCAUUUCUUAUUUUCUAGGGGAAGUUUUUUAAUAGUAGUUGAGCUGAGAUUUUUUUGGCUCUUUUUCAGGCUUUUUAUUGAGACAUUGCUAGAGUAUUCCACUAGCUGCCAGUGUGUAAAGUGGGCAGAUCAACCUUGAAAUAUUACGGUCUUGGGACAAAUUUUGUUCUUGUUUUCUCCCCAGUGCAAAUCCAGAAUAACAGUAAUGACUUCAGCUGAGCCACUUCAGUUUUAUAUCAGCAUAAAUGAGAGCAGGGUCUGCCCAUGUAGAUGCAGCCUGCGGGACUAGGCAUCUGCCUGCGUGCUGCACCCUUGCUUCAAAUUGACACCCUACCCUUAAUUCAGCGGAGAACCAAAGGAACUGCUUGCCCUGCAAAUGAGCACUGAUGCUAAUGUAUCACAGUGGAGAUUUAUCAACAAGCUGACACCUCGGUAGCCAUCUCUUAUUUGCAUAGCAGAGAAAUGUGAAUAAAAGAUGUGAGAUUAGCUCUGCACUGGCCAGGGUAGAAGGUAAUUCUGGCAUUAGCAGAGCUGCAGACUCAGCCACAGGGAAUUUGGUAGGUAAAAAUGCUUUGUGUGUCCAUAAGCAUGACACAUGUGUAAAGACUGAGACCAGGCACUUAUUUAAAAAAUACAGUUUAUUAGAUAAAACAUACAUAGAACCAAGUAAAUCCAAAUCUUUAUUAAAAAUACAGAAAUAAUUUUGCAAUACUAAAAGAAAGUACUGGCUUUUUCUAUGAAACAUAAAUCUGAAAGUAUGGGACAUCCUUGCUUUAUCAUAGCCCGUCCCCCUCUAGUCUACAUUCUUAAACAUACUGCAUCAAAUUGUGAAACCCAAGCAAAAGUCUGUUGUACAAAAUUAAGUAUGUUAAGUCCAGUAAUACUCAGUUUAAUUACGAUGCAAACAGUAGCAUACAGCACACAGAACAGUCAAUUUACAGCUAUACAUUAAAACAUGCCUCUAUAUAGUGAUGGAGAAUCCACUGGAAGGAGUAAGUUACAAAUAAUUAAAAAAAAAUGCCUGUAGAAAUAAUAGAAGAAUCACAGUUUGACACUAUGCUUGCAAAAUGGUUGUGUAUGUACUUAGACACUGAGUAUGUGAAGGAUGGAUAAAUUGGACCCACCGAUACAGAACAUGCUAACUCGACAGUUAUCAUUUUGUUUGGACGUGUGAAUGUGUGUGACAUGUACACACGGUGGGCAGGUGCAUAUCUGUGCACGUACAUCAGACCUGCAUGUACAUACACAUAGAAAGGCACACACCUCCACAGCUGAAGACAAAUCACUUCAAUAAAACCCUUUAAAGUGGGCUGAGAGUAAUACUAAUAUGCUGCUUGUCAAAAACGUGCUGCUCUAGGGCUCCACACAUUUUAUUCUUGUGUUUUUCUUAUCCAUAAGCUCCACAUUCAUUUCACCUCAGCUCUCCAUUGUUUGCAUAUUUGCAAAGUGAACACAGAGCUAUUCAGUCUAAUAUAAUGUUCACUGUUGGAGAUUAUUUAUUAGGGGAGGUUUUAAUAGCUGAUAAAUAGCAAAGUAUUAAAGGGCUUGCUUUGCUUUUUAAGUAAGUAGAACUAAGGGGCAGAUGUCUUUUCCCUGAUUAUUGUUAGCAUCAUAUGGUAAUCCUGGCACAAUCAACAAUAUAUCUUGUGUAUCAUCUUUAGUAACUGUUCUUGACUGAAAAUGGAGAAGACUCACAUUAGGAAAAGUCAUAGGCAUAUAAGCUGUUUCUGUAAUCCCCAAUUAUUUAGCUCCUCCUGACAAUAAUGGCAAAAUAAAUGAAUGCUAGAAUAUUGUGCUAAGUAAAAUGAAUGGGUAGCAGAACGAGCAUUAAGUGAAAGAAUUACAAAGGCUUCACAGAAUCAGAAAUUACUUAGGCUCAGAAAAGCACGUCAAGUGGCCAACUUGGAGCAAAGCUCAAGACACACUGAGGUCAGUGAUGUGCAGGUGUGUGCUUGGCAUUAAACAUCACUGAACUGCACAGCUGGACUGGGACCCCAAAGCAUUCAUCCGAUAAGACGCUUUUUUUUGUUUCUCUCUCAUUGAAAGAAAGCAAACCAAAUCAGUACUAAGGCAAAAGUGUGUAAAAUAGAGAAAUCCUGACAGACUCUGGUGGGAAUCGGCUGGCUUUAUAUUCGCGUGAGAGAAGCAGCAACCUGUGCAGGUUUACACAGCAGGACAGGAGCAAAACGCUCUGAGAAGGCGGACGGUACUGUGCUUUGCAGAUGGGGCAGGAGGCACCAUCAGUGGGCUGUGGACACAGACUUUUCUUUCCACUGGAGUCCCAGACAGCAUCACUCAUGUCAUACAGCCCACAGGGCUGCCGUUAGCACAGUGAUGCUGCUGGUGGGAUAAACCCAGCUGCCUUUUGCCAUCGGGAAGAGCUGGAGCCUGGUGGCACUGGUGUGGAGUAAAACCAGGCAGCAUGAUGAAAACACACAGAAGAAUCCCAGCCACAGACUUCCAAAAUAAAUCUGCCUUAUACAGACCUUACACUGAGCCACGGGACUAAGACCGCAGUCAACAGCAUUCAAGCCCGUAAUCUUAUCACUACAGCACAUUUUUAUUAAAGAGGAAAUCUCGCUAUUUACAUUCUCUUCUCAUAUACACACUGGCAGAGGAAGGAAGCCUGGUGAGCGAGUGCAUGCCAGCUGAUUUCUCUGCUUGGAGAGCAGUCACGGAGGAGAAGCCUGUGCCGCAUGCUGGACGGGCUCCUGCUAGCUCCUGCGGGGUUUGGAUGAGAGCAGUCACAAACGCAUUUUUCGAAUGAUGUGAGGUGUGGAGACGUUGCCUGUGUCAGUAUUAAGCGGUAUGGACUGUAAUAAGUUUGGGGGUGGCUGAAUGCAAGGCAGUGUGUGUUUGAUUAUAAAUAAAUUGUUUGUAUAUUCAGUUUUUUUUUUUCUCCCUGGCAUGAAGAAAAUCAAACAGCUUUAUGUAUUUGCUUGAUGUGCGAUGCCCUUUUCUGAAGGUUGUACAGUCCCAUGAAAGAGAUGUCAUUCGCCAUUCGAGGAGGACAAGAUUAGUGUAGAGCAGGUAGGUAAAAAAGUCCAAGAUUGUAAAAAUACCUGCAAGAUGCCAUGAAAGCAGCCCUGCUUAUCCAGCUGCUGCAGAAACUGAGGCUUAUCUAGCAAAUUACAGAUCAUAUUAAAAAUCAAAGCUAACACACUUUGAGCCCAAUUAGCAAUAGAAAAACUGAUAGCUGUGCAUACAUUAAAAAAAAAACGUGCAUGCUUCACUAGCCUUGGAAGCUAAAGCUGAGGAACUGGAAGGGAGCUCGGAGCACCAUUAAAAAAGAAGUGUGAGCGGGACUUGCGCUGCUCUGUGGCCUGACUUAAGGCUGCCCCUUUCCAGCUGGAAGAGAGCUGUUAUGCUCUCAUCCUUCACACUGUUUGGAAACAGAGCCCUAGAGCCAAAACCUGAUCUCAUUCCCACUGGUAGAAGUAUGCAGUAGCCCCACAGAAGCUACAGUCAUUACUCUAGACUCGCACUUGUGCAUCCACGUGUGAAUCGGCCCUGCCUUACUGCACGUAUUUCGGGAUGAAGGAUGCUGCUGCACACAUUGCAGCGCCCGCUUGAUGUCGGCUUAUGAGCACGGCCUUCCCUCACUGCUGAUUUCAUCUGUCCCACCUCCGCCUCCCAGCUGGCCAACACCGCUCCCCUUCUUCUUCCAGCCGGGUGGCUCUUUCCCACCUCCUGCUGUCCUUAUGGUUGGCAGUGGGCACCUCUUCUUUCCAACCAACUCUCCCAUCCAGGCGGAUGGCACGCUGGCCCCUCUCCAGACCACGGGAAUGAUGCUGGUGGCUCUGAGCUUGGCACGCUGGUUGCCUGCACCUGCCUAAUGGUGUGCCAUGCACGGGGCCAGGCUUGGCUUCCACAUGCAUCAGCAACGGGGCAGGAGCUGAAGAUUCAUCCCACUGAGCAGUGCAGCCGGGUCCCUUCCAACCUGUGAGCAUUUAAGCUGCUUGGACAUCGAGGGAAAGAUGGAAGGAAGAGGGGAGAACUGCACCCACCCUGUGUAAAAGUGCUGAGCCCUUAAUGAGGUAUUUAUUGCAAAUAGGAAUCAGCCGACUGGUUAAAAACCAUCCCCGAAAAGUGCCUUUCGUGCUGGUGAAGGAAAGCAGUGGAAAGCUUUUUGUGCAAGAUAAAGAAGGGGUUAAAAAAAAAUACAGACAACCUAAUUCAAAGAUUAAAAAACUGGUACUAGUAAAGGGCACUUGGUUGAAAGGAAAGCAAGGGUUGCAGAAAACUACGGAGAAAGAGAGGGGAAAUAAAUGUGAGAAUGGAAGAGCAGAGAAGAGCCAUAAGGUGGUGCAAAAGGGGUGAAGGAGACACAUUUAUGGUCCCUGAAAGAUGGAAAGAAAGGAAGAAGAAGAGAUCUUGCCAGAGAGGAACUGAGGAGAAAAAAACCUGAAUGUAACUGCAGUGGUGGAAUGGGAAGGGAAAGGGCUGAGAAGUUUCAGGGGAAAGGACUAGAAGGCAGAGGAUGAUUAAGAGGGGGAAGAAUGAGGGCAGGAUAAGGGAUUAUCUGACCUUUAAAAGCCCACCAUGUAGGUACAUAAAGAAGCUGUAGGCAAGGGCUACGUGAGGAGCAAGUCAGAUUUGGACAGCACAAGGAGAAAGGAUGGUGAGAAUGGAUGGUCUUGUGUUUAAGGCACUAGACUUGGACCAGAAGGUCUGGGAUCAGACUUCUGGCUUCACCAAAGGUGAUUAGCAGUGUUGGGAAGGAGACAAUAAGGUUCCUCAUUUUCCUCAGUCUUCUGCUAUUUUUACCAUAAGUGUCUGAGAGGUAAUUCGCGCCAUUGACUUCUAUCUGCUUUUAACCUUUAUCUGCAAAAGGGAAGGAAAACUGCCUCUAGGAGACCCUUCCCCUUAGGUUGUCCCUCAGUGGCAGGCUGAGUCCCUCCUAAUCCAUCUGCACGCCACGAGGCACGAUCUCUGCACGCCUUUGUAACACAAAUACCCGUAGUAACUUCUGAUAACAGCAGCCUAACGUGCCUAUAGUUGAGCUGUUUUAGUGUCGGACACAGACCUCAUCGACAGUGGUAAAGAUGUGGAACAAGUCUGCUGAAUUUACAACAGUGUCAGUGGAAGACUGGAAUUCAGAUUGCCUUCCUGUAGGCACACCGACUGUAUAAACAAGAGGCUUUCUUUUACUACAAGAUUUCUAAGAGGCAUAAAAGGAAAAGCUGGUAAAUAUUAACCUGCUAAACAGCCAUGACUAGAGCUGCUUUCUGAAGCCUCUGUGCCACAAAGGAAAUCAAAAAAAGAUCUUUUUCUUUUAAUACCGUCUCAUGCCAAGCUGGUCAGAAGCCUUCUGGAUGCUAGAACAUAUUAGCAGUGCCAUGAGGAAGAUGGAUAGGUUUUAGAAACAGUCAUUUGGUUUCAGUGGAACCUGGACACAUGGAUCAAUUCACAAUACUGCCACUACAGCAAAUGCUCAGGGCCAUAAAACACAUUACAGAUCAGGAAACCAUCAAAGUGAGGAAUAAAAUUAAUCACUAGCCUUUCACUGACUUGGAUUCACUGCAGCUCAGAAGCCCUUUCCCCACCCCUUCUCCCAUGUUUCACCUGAAAGACACUGAAAGCCGUGAAACAGCUCCAUUUGGAAAUGUCCUCAUCUCUGUAUUUAUUGGGGUGCGUUUUUUUUUUCCUAUUCCCCAUCCUUUUAGAGAUCUCUGAUAACAGGACAUUGGUUGCCUGCAUUGCGUGCUCAGAAAGAAGAGGACAGCAUGGUCCCGGUCCUUUAUAUCACCGAGGGAGAACCAUGGCUAAUAAAGACAUACUUCUCUACUCAGAAGAAGGUUUCCUAUUUCUAUACAUGCCCAGGAAAAGGGCACAAACCACAGGGGAACACCGCUGAAGCCUGGGACUUGCCCAUUUCCGAAGCCCAGUCCUUCCUGGCUGCUCCACUCUGCUUUUCCUUCACUCUCUCCACGGCCUGCCCAUGCAGCCGGGCAGGCAACGUGCACAGCCACACAGCCACAUGCACAGACACACAGACACCCCCCCGGCCAGCCUCAAACGCUGCUUUUUGGCAGGAGGAGCAAGGCUGUGCAGCCAGAGAUGGAGACCUUCCUGCAGUGCCGAGCCAUCCCCGCUGGGCUGUGGCACUACCAGGAGACUCAGCUGUUUGAAGCAUGAUGAGGUGCCGCAGAUGCUGAAGGAGCCAAAUAAUCGUAGGUCAGCGGGGUUGAUUUCGAAAAGUUUCAUUUUUAAAUCCCACCGAGGCCUUCGCCUCGAGAACUUGUGGAAAUCGCUCGGUGAAGUCAUGCUCCGGCCGGGCCGAGUUUCUGCCCAGCAGCACGGCUGCGAUCCUCAGCGCUUUGCUCUGCUGCUGAGCGGGAAACCCAAACCAGGCUCGGCCAAACCUGCAGCUCCAACCCAAAACGAACAGGAGAAAGUGUCGGGAUCAGGGCGGUGUGCAGCUGGAAGAGCUCUCCACCAGGAAGCUCGCAGAGCUCCCGGGAGCAGGACAAGGAUUGCUUGACUUGCUUUGCGAGCCAAGCCCUUACGAAUCCAAGAGACAAACUUACGUGGAGCUCGGUGGGACCUGGAUUUGGCCUAACGUGCUUUAUUUAGCAUUGUGAGGGAGGGAAACAUUUUUUCUCGAGCUUAAGUUGAAAGAUUCUUGUGUUUCAGCUGGAGCCUUGUUGUGGCAGAGCAUCACACACCGUCGCUUCUUUCUCUUCCUUAAGCAAAUCUUUAUUUCUUCCACACUUAGCCUCCGACCAGCACCUCUAUGCCCAAACCCUGUUAAACCUGGCUGGUGGGGGGGACACAACCCCUCGGACCGCCCCAUGCUCACCCUGUCCCUUCGGAUUCAGGCACCUGGCGGGGAGCUGGGGCUCGGGGAACAAAGGGAGACGAGGCCGUGCAUUCACGUCCCCCGAGCUGUAAAUCCCGAGGCGAGGGGAUUCGCCGGAGCUGGUGCCAGAAGGCGCGAGCUGCGCUAGAGCCCGUCGUACUUGCGAAGUCCAUAUGUGAUAAUACCACUGCAGCCACAAAAGAAUUUACAGCAGGAAGCGUCGCAGCUGUUGCUUAUUAGCAUUAGUACAAAUUACACAAAGCAAAUUGUUAGCAGACAUGUUUCCACAAUAUUUAACUCGUGGCAGCGAAUGAAAGCGGCUCCUUCCCGAGCAGAAUUUGCGAUUUCCAAGGGAAUGGGUUUCCAAUUGUCCAUGAAGGGACCACGGAUUAGGAGGCAGCGUGUGACUAUCGCAAGGACUCAGAGGCAACGUGUGCGCAGCCUCGCCUGCUUUCUCAGGUGGAAGGGUGCAAAUUUAGGGCUGCGUUUCUUGGUGUGAGAAGCAAAAUCCGCACGGCUCCAGCCAGCUCAGUUACCAGUGGCAGGGGAGCAGCAGUGCGUGGGACCUGCUCUGGAGCUGCCGUGUUAAGGCUUUGCACGCAGAAACGCUUGGAAGGGGGGAGAGGCUCUUGCUGACCUGACAUUUCCCUGGAUUUUUACCCCAAAGUGCCUGUAAUGACUAUUUCCCUAGCAACCCCAAGCCUGUUGAUGGGGAAGCAGCAUGAGCCAGCGGAGCAAUCCUCUAACACCAGCUCAGAGGGGUGGCAGAUGCCCACGAAGUACUGAGAUUGCUUAAAGCAAGUGAAGUGCCUCCUGAUCCAGCUGUGAGUGCCCAAAAGCAGAAACCAGGGGCACGCAGCGCGCACCUGGGGGCAGGUGCAUCCACCCACCUGUUUGCAGGAGAUCAGAAAUACAGCUUGGUUGGAGGCAGGCUGAAGUGAGAGCUCUGAAGAGGAAAGCAAGCAAAGCAAUUUUGUACCAGCAAUGUCUAAAAUAGCAGCUAAUCGAGAGGCGGUGACAUGCCUCUUCUGACUCUCGAGGGCUUGUUCCUAGGAAAUGGCCUGACACACUCUGCACAGCUCAACCACCCUCCCUGGCAAGGCUCGAAAGAGAAACAAUGAUUAUUAGUAGCAAUAUUACUGCAGUAAUGUUUGCCCCCUAACUGCCUUUUGGUGAAAAAACACACAGUGAGGGAUUUCUUUUGUAAACUUUACUCACGUGUAAAACGAAGUCCCUAAACACCUCCCCUGUAAAAGGCAGCGCAUUAAAUAUCAUGGUGUGGACAGUCCUGUCAUGCUGAGAAGGUUCAUAUCAAACGAGAUAGCACCACUGACCGUGUGUGUUAGGUACAUACAUGAAAACUACCUCAGCACAUUACAUGUAUGAGCAUCGUUGCCACUGAGGAAUCUAGAAAUACUGCCUAGGUGUUACCGGGCCUCGCAGUGGGAAGGUGGAGGUGAGACACAGAGCUGAAUGGGAAUGGCUCUUUUUCAGGAAAUUAUGUAGCUCUGAUUUUUUUUUCCACUCUCAGAACAAAAGGUGAGGUUACAGACUCCCCAGGAAAAUACAAUAAAAUGUGUAUUAAUAAAAUGUGUAAAUAA